GCGACUGGGCAGUUGUCGGUGGCGCCCAGGGCGGGCGGAGCGGCGGCCGGGCGGGUGGGGCCCUCGCUAGGCGCCACGAUGGCAGAUUGAGGAGGAUGGAUGAUUUCUUUAUCGAUCUCAACAAUGAAGCACAGUGUGUUGGUGUUGGAGAAGUUUCUGAAUCUUCCAUGAGCGGUUCUGCUUCCAAGGUGGGGGCAACAAGGAACAAGCAGACCAACUUCUCGGCGUAUGAAGACAACAUGCUCUGCAAAUCGUAGCUGGCAAUUAGCUGUGAUCCCGUUGUAAACACCGGCCAGAGGAAGGAAGCUUUUUGGAUUCGUGUGCUCAACAGAUACAAUUCCAAAUGCGGCAGCUAUCCGACGAGGACCCAAAAAUCCAUUAUGAGUCGUUAGGAUCACAUCAAGGCUGAAGUAAGCAAGUUCUCUGGAUACAUGGCACAGAUGAUCCGUUCCAAUCCUAGUGGCAUGUCGGAUGCAGAUAAGUCAGUGGUUGGUCCUGCUGAUUUUGCUAGUAUGGAGAAGCACAAUUUCACUCUCAUGCACUGCUGGAAAAUCAUGAAGGAUGAGCCCAAAUGGAUGGA